GGGGCGUAGCUCAGAGGAUAGAGCAGCGGUCUUCUAAACCGAAGGUCGGGGGUUCGAUUCCCUCCGCCC
rnacentral:tRNA from 1 species